rfam:Triticum urartu cultivar G1812 contig1441074, whole genome shotgun sequence.
AUAGAGCAACAAACUCUAUACAGUUUUAGUGAGCCCCGUUAAUCUUCUAAUCCGCCAAGAAAGGAAAGAUUAUCGGGGUUUUUGCUU